rnacentral:pre_miRNA from 12 species
AGAGGUGCUGCUCACAGUCAGUUUUGCAGGUUUGCAUCCCAGCUUGCUAAAAUUGCUGUGCAAAUCCAUGCAAAACUGACUGUGGUGGUGGU